CUGAGAAACAGCUACCACAUGCAAGGAAGGCAGCGGGCGUGCAAAAGACCCACUCCCGACGCGGGAGGGUAGUGAUGACAAAUAGCACAGUCUAGAAUUUGGGGUGGCUUUAGGAGCGCAUUCGUAUGUCAUGCAUAUCAACUUUCGAUGCCAUUUACUGUGCCUACCAUGGUGACGAUGGGUAACGGGAAUCAUUGUUUGAUUCCGGAGAGGGAGCCUGAGAAACAGCUACCACAUGCAAGGAAGGCAGCGGGCGCGCAAAAGACCCACUCCCACGCAGGAAGGUAGUGAUG